rnacentral:rRNA from 1 species
UACGUAGGGUGCGAGCGUUAAUCGGAAUUACUGGGCGUAAAGCGUGUGCAGGCGGUUUUUUAAGACAGGUGUGAAAUCCCCGGGCUUAACCUGGGAAUUGCGCUUGUUACUGGCAAGCUAGAGUGCGUCAGAGGGAGGUGGAAUUCCACGUGUAGCAGUGAAAUGCGUAGAGAUGUGGAGGAACACCGAUGGCGAAGGCAGCCUCCUGGGAUGACACUGACGCUCAUACACGAAAGCGUGGGGAGCAAACAGG